rnacentral:snRNA from 1 species
AUGCUCGCUUCUGCAGCACAUAUACAAAAACUGGAGCAAUACAGAGAAGAUUAGCAUGCCCCUUGUGCAAGGAUGACACACAAAUUCUUGAAGCAUUCCAUAUUUUU